GACUUGGGCACGUGAAGGACAUGGUCGGUUUAUGGACACCCGUAUGCAGCUGGAAAGCACGAAGAUAACAGACGGCUUGAUGCAUGCUCAAUCAUCCAGAAAAUUGUUUCAAAUUCAGAUAUAUCCAGUUCCCAGUGUGUUGAAGGUUUGGCCACUAAUUUACAUUUCUACAGUUUAUGGCUCUGUUCUAAGACCACCAUCCCAACGCUCUGAUGUUCAAAAAUGGAAAGGUGAACAGCGGGAAUACACUGCGCCUGGUGGCGUCCCAAUUUAGCUCCGAUGCAGCCACUGGAGCUGACUGCACCCACCCAAGGCAAUUCCCGCAAUUCCAGUGUUGCAGAAGCAUCCGAUCACUUAAAGUAGCACUGCAUCUAUAAUUUUUACAAGAGCCAUGUCAAACUGAACAGAGCAGAUAAGAAGGGCAGACAGCUGGGCACAAGAACGGCAUAGGGAAUUAUGAAUUUUUAAAAUAAAAGUGCUCAGCCAGACAAAAAUUAAGCUUCUGAGAUGAUCCCUGCGUGAUAUGAAGGCAUGGGAAGCUUUAUGGAACAAGACUGCAUCAAAGAUGCGGCGUCAAAGACAUGCAUUAAUUGUAUUCCCAAUCGAUCGCCAUGUAUGGAAUUGAGUCGUGAAGGAAAUUCAACAACCUUCGGCACCCACAGCAGCGUAUGGGCUUAGGAGCUGAUCCACGCCAGCUACGGAUCAAAGAAAAGAAGAAGACACCUGAAGCCACACAGCUAUCAAGCUGGUUACCCCCAUGAACCAACACUUUUAAACAGUAAGAGUGAUCUUAAUUAUCUUAACGCCAUACACUGCACACACAAAUAUGACACAUAAUUCUUGUUAAGGCCUUUUACUAUAUACUAAUUUAUCUCCAAUGUUAUAUAUUUUCUUUGACUUAUGUAUUGCCUAUUUGCUUAGUCUUGUGUUGAGUAUUACUAGUUGGUUACAUUUUUUGUUGUUUGAUGAUUUCUUUCUAUUUUUGUCCCCCUUAUGGAUCAACCGGGUCUGAUUAGCCAGAAUUUAAGUCCGCUCUGUCCGCUUUAGAUCAGUUUUAUUCUGUUGAGCAGGUAAUUCUGUUCAUUUCACCUCUGUGUUGUUACUGAAUUUUGUAUGUUUUUGCAGUUUUGGGCAAAUAAAACCAGUUUUUCUCAAAAUAA